GUGAGGAAUAUUGGUCAAUGGACGAGAGUCUGAACCAGCCAAGUCGCGUGAAGGAAGACGGUUCUAUGAAUUGUAAACUUCUUUUGUGCAGGAAUAAAGUGGGUUACGUGUAACCUUUUGUAUGUACUGUACGAAUAAGGAUCGGCUAACUCCGUGCCAGCAGCCGCGGUAAUACGGAGGAUCCGAGCGUUAUCCGGAUUUAUUGGGUUUAAAGGGUGCGUAGGUGGAUUGAUAAGUCAGCGGUGAAAGUUUGCAGCUUAACUGUAAAAUUGCCGUUGAAACUGUCGGUCUUGAGUGCAAAUGAGGUAGGCGGAAUGUGUUGUGUAGCGGUGAAAUGCUUAGAUAUAACACAGAACUCCGAUUGCGAAGGCAGCUUACUGGGAUGCAACUGACACUGAUGCACGAAAGCGUGGGUAUCAAACAGGAUUAGAAACCCGUGUAGUCC
rnacentral:rRNA from 1 species